rnacentral:rRNA from 1 species
GACGAACGCUGGCGGCGUGCUUAACACAUGCAAGUCGAACGGAAAGGCCCUGCUUUUGUGGGGUGCUCGAGUGGCGAACGGGUGAGUAACACGUGAGUAACCUGCCCUUGACUUUCGGAUAACUUCAGGAAACUGGGGCUAAUACCGGAUAGGAGCUCCUGCUGCAUGGGGGGGGUUGGAAAGUUUCGGCGGUUGGGGAUGGACUCGCGGCUUAUCAGCUUGUUGGUGGGGUAGUGGCUUACCAAGGCUUUGACGGGUAGCCGGCCUGAGAGGGUGAGCGGCCACAUUGGGACUGAGAUGCGGCCCAGACGCCUACGGGAGGCAGCAGUGGGGGAUAUUGCACAGUGGGCGGAAGCCUGAUGCAGCAACGCCGCGUGCGGGAUGACGGCCUUCGGGUUGUAAACCGCUUUCGCCUGUGACGAAGCGUGAGUGACGGUAAUGGGUAAAGAAGCACCGGCUAACUACGUG